rnacentral:rRNA from 1 species
GGGUUGUGAGGUUAAGCGACUAAGCGUACACGGUGGAUGCCCUGGCAGUCAGAGGCGAUGAAGGACGUGCUAAUCUGCGAUAAGCGUCGGUAAGGUGAUAUGAACCGUUAUAACCGGCGAUUUCCGAAUGGGGAAACCCAGUGUGUUUCGACACACUAUCAUUAACUGAAUCCAUAGGUUAAUGAGGCGAACCGGGGGAACUGAAACAUCUAAGUACCCCGAGGAAAAGAAAUCAACCGAGAUUCCCCCAGUAGCGGCGAGCGAACGGGGAGCAGCCCAGAGCCUGAAUCAGUGUGUGUGUUAGUGGAAGCGUCUGGAAAGGCGCGCGAUACAGGGUGACAGCCCCGUACACAAAAAUGCACAUAUUGUGAGCUCGAUGAGUAGGGCGGGACACGUGGUAUCCUGUCUGAAUAUGGGGGGACCAUCCUCCAAGGCUAAAUACUCCUGACUGACCGAUAGUGAACCAGUACCGUGAGGGAAAGGCGAAAAGAACCCCGGCGAGGGGAGUGAAAAAGAACCUGAAACCGUGUACGUACAAGCAGUGGGAGCCUCUUUUAUGGGGUGACUGCGUACCUUUUGUAUAAUGGGUCAGCGACUUAUAUUCUGUAGCAAGGUUAACCGAAUAGGGGAGCCGAAGGGAAACCGAGUCUUAACUGGGCGUUAAGUUGCAGGGUAUAGACCCGAAACCCGGUGAUCUAGCCAUGGGCAGGUUGAAGGUUGGGUAACACUAACUGGAGGACCGAACCGACUAAUGUUGAAAAAUUAGCGGAUGACUUGUGGCUGGGGGUGAAAGGCCAAUCAAACCGGGAGAUAGCUGGUUCUCCCCGAAAGCUAUUUAGGUAGCGCCUCGUGAAUUCAUCUCCGGGGGUAGAGCACUGUUUCGGCAAGGGGGUCAUCCCGACUUACCAACCCGAUGCAAACUGCGAAUACCGGAGAAUGUUAUCACGGGAGACACACGGCGGGUGCUAACGUCCGUCGUGAAGAGGGAAACAACCCAGACCGCCAGCUAAGGUCCCAAAGUCAUGGUUAAGUGGGAAACGAUGUGGGAAGGCCCAGACAGCCAGGAUGUUGGCUUAGAAGCAGCCAUCAUUUAAAGAAAGCGUAAUAGCUCACUGGUCGAGUCGGCCUGCGCGGAAGAUGUAACGGGGCUAAACCAUGCACCGAAGCUGCGGCAGCGACACUGUGUGUUGUUGGGUAGGGGAGCGUUCUGUAAGCCUGUGAAGGUGUACUGUGAGGUAUGCUGGAGGUAUCAGAAGUGCGAAUGCUGACAUAAGUAACGAUAAAGCGGGUGAAAAGCCCGCUCGCCGGAAGACCAAGGGUUCCUGUCCAACGUUAAUCGGGGCAGGGUGAGUCGACCCCUAAGGCGAGGCCGAAAGGCGUAGUCGAUGGGAAACAGGUUAAUAUUCCUGUACUUGGUGUUACUGCGAAGGGGGGACGGAGAAGGCUAUGUUGGCCGGGCGACGGUUGUCCCGGUUUAAGCGUGUAGGCUGGUUUUCCAGGCAAAUCCGGAAAAUCAAGGCUGAGGCGUGAUGACGAGGCACUACGGUGCUGAAGCAACAAAUGCCCUGCUUCCAGGAAAAGCCUCUAAGCAUCAGGUAACAUCAAAUCGUACCCCAAACCGACACAGGUGGUCAGGUAGAGAAUACCAAGGCGCUUGAGAGAACUCGGGUGAAGGAACUAGGCAAAAUGGUGCCGUAACUUCGGGAGAAGGCACGCUGAUAUGUAGGUGAAGCGACUUGCUCGUGGAGCUGAAAUCAGUCGAAGAUACCAGCUGGCUGCAACUGUUUAUUAAAAACACAGCACUGUGCAAACACGAAAGUGGACGUAUACGGUGUGACGCCUGCCCGGUGCCGGAAGGUUAAUUGAUGGGGUCAGCGCAAGCGAAGCUCUUGAUCGAAGCCCCGGUAAACGGCGGCCGUAACUAUAACGGUCCUAAGGUAGCGAAAUUCCUUGUCGGGUAAGUUCCGACCUGCACGAAUGGCGUAAUGAUGGCCAGGCUGUCUCCACCCGAGACUCAGUGAAAUUGAACUCGCUGUGAAGAUGCAGUGUACCCGCGGCAAGACGGAAAGACCCCGUGAACCUUUACUAUAGCUUGACACUGAACAUUGAGCCUUGAUGUGUAGGAUAGGUGGGAGGCUUUGAAGUGUGGACGCCAGUCUGCAUGGAGCCGACCUUGAAAUACCACCCUUUAAUGUUUGAUGUUCUAACGUUGACCCGUGAUCCGGGUUGCGGACAGUGUCUGGUGGGUAGUUUGACUGGGGCGGUCUCCUCCUAAAGAGUAACGGAGGAGCACGAAGGUUGGCUAAUCCUGGUCGGACAUCAGGAGGUUAGUGCAAUGGCAUAAGCCAGCUUGACUGCGAGCGUGACGGCGCGAGCAGGUGCGAAAGCAGGUCAUAGUGAUCCGGUGGUUCUGAAUGGAAGGGCCAUCGCUCAACGGAUAAAAGGUACUCCGGGGAUAACAGGCUGAUACCGCCCAAGAGUUCAUAUCGACGGCGGUGUUUGGCACCUCGAUGUCGGCUCAUCACAUCCUGGGGCUGAAGUAGGUCCCAAGGGUAUGGCUGUUCGCCAUUUAAAGUGGUACGCGAGCUGGGUUUAGAACGUCGUGAGACAGUUCGGUCCCUAUCUGCCGUGGGCGCUGGAGAACUGAGGGGGGCUGCUCCUAGUACGAGAGGACCGGAGUGGACGCAUCACUGGUGUUCGGGUUGUCAUGCCAAUGGCACUGCCCGGUAGCUAAAUGCGGAAGAGAUAAGUGCUGAAAGCAUCUAAGCACGAAACUUGCCCCGAGAUGAGUUCUCCCUGACCCUUUAAGGGUCCUGAAGGAACGUUGAAGACGACGACGUUGAUAGGCCGGGUGUGUAAGCGCAGCGAUGCGUUGAGCUAACCGGUACUAAUGAACCGUGAGGCUUAACCUUACAACGCCGAAG